GAUUGUUUGAAAUAAAUAAGUGAGAUAAGAGGCCAGACAGAAUUCUUCGGGAGGUGCAGCCGUUAGGGGUGGGGUAGGUGUGGGAUGUGGGGGGUGGAUAACAGAGCUCUCCGAAAACGUGGAAGCACUUUUGCAAAUAUGUGAUAUUUUGAUAAAUUAAGUAGAUAUUUGAGCAUUACACAGCUACAUUGUCGCCUGAAAAUAUCUUAAAAGGUUAUUUUGUGACCCAGAAAGGGUAGUCUGGGGAAAAGGAGGAUCGCAUUUGUCGGCCACGGUUGUCGGAGCCUGUGCGUACUUGUAAGCGCUGCAAUGGCGGAGGAGCACUGCUGAAAAACUUAUUACUUUUUCUGGGUCACAAAAUAAACUUUUAAGAUAUUUUCAGGCGAGAAUGUAGCUGUGUAAAUUUCAAAUAUCUGUUCGAUUUAUCAAGACAUCACAUAUUUGCAAAAAUGCUCCGACGUUUUCGUAGAUGUCUAUUUUUUUUUCAUGCUUUGUGGCAGCUUUAGAACAUCUGUGGCAUCUAUUAAUGUCAAAUCUAGCCUUUAUUUAACAACAUAAGCAAACUCUAUGUUACAAUGAUUGCACAGCCGUUAAGGAUCAAAUCAGUUUCUGAAAAAUGUUCUGUUUUUUCUCCCUCUGCUGGCUUCUUACUGUCUUUGAGGCUCGGGACCAGCACUCCUGUUGUUGGACAGAAAGACAUCAACUUGAGAUAUGACUGCACUGUGCUGUUGCUGGUGACCACAGUUAAUUCUACAAGACAUGCUGUGACAACAGGAGAGAUGAGUCCUCCGUCACAGAUGGUGUGGUCAGUGAAGAUUGUCGCCUGCAGGUUCAAGCUCAUUGCAUCUUCAACCCACAUCCACUGCCACUGUACUUAAGGGAAGUUAAAGACUUUCUUCUGCACCUACAUUUGGAUCACCUCGAUCCAUGACAGUCAUUCAGGCAGUAAUGCCUGGACUGGAAACAAG
ensembl:lncRNA